CCUACGGGAGGCUGCAGUGGGGAAUAUUGGACAAUGGGGGGAACCCUGAUCCAGCCAUGCCGCGUGUGUGAAGAAGGCCCUCGGGUUGUAAAGCACUUUCAGUGAGGAAGAACGCCUGGUGGUUAAUACCCAUCAGGAAAGACAUCACUCACAGAAGAAGCACCGGCUAACUCCGUGCCAGCAGCCGCGGUAAUACGGAGGGUGCGAGCGUUAAUCGGAAUUACUGGGCGUAAAGCGCGCGUAGGUGGCUUGAUAAGCCGGUUGUGAAAGCCCCGGGCUCAACCUGGGAACGGCAUCCGGAACUGUCAAGCUAGAGUGCAGGAGAGGAAGGUAGAAUUCCCGGUGUAGCGGUGAAAUGCGUAGAGAUCGGGAGGAAUACCAGUGACGAAGGCGGCCUUCUGGACUGACACUGACACUGAGGUGCGAAAGCGUGGGUAGCAAACAGGAUUAGAUACCCUUGUAGUC
rnacentral:rRNA from 1 species